GUUAAGCGACUAAGCGUACACGGUGGAUGCCCUGGCAGUCAGAGGCGAUGAAGGGCGUGCUAAUCUGCGAUAAGCGCCGGUAAGGUGAUAUGAACCGUUAUAACCGGCGAUACCCGAAUGGGGAAACCCAGUGUGACUCGUCACACUAUCAUUAACUGAAUCCAUAGGUUAAUGAGGCGAACCGGGGGAACUGAAACAUCUAAGUACCCCGAGGAAAAGAAAUCAACCGAGAUUCCCCCAGUAGCGGCGAGCGAACGGGGAGGAGCCCAGAGCCUGAAUCAGCAUGUGUGUUAGUGGAAGCGUCUGGAAAGGCGCGCGAUACAGGGUGACAGCCCCGUACACAAAAGCGCAUGUGCUGUGAGCUCGAUGAGUAGGGCGGGACACGUGG
rnacentral:rRNA from 1 species